rnacentral:rRNA from 1 species
UUAAAUUGAAGAGUUUGAUCAUGGCUCAGAUUGAACGCUGGCGGCAGGCCUAACACAUGCAAGUCGAACGGUAACAGGAAACAGCUUGCUGUUUCGCUGACGAGUGGCGGACGGGUGAGUAAUGUCUGGGAAACUGCCUGAUGGAGGGGGAUAACUACUGGAAACGGUAGCUAAUACCGCAUAACGUCGCAAGACCAAAGAGGGGGACCUUCGGGCCUCUUGCCAUCGGAUGUGCCCAGAUGGGAUUAGCUAGUAGGUGGGGUAACGGCUCACCUAGGCGACGAUCCCUAGCUGGUCUGAGAGGAUGACCAGCCACACUGGAACUGAGACACGGU